rnacentral:lncRNA from 1 species
UUUUAUUUUGUUUUUUAUGUUAAUUAUGUCUAUGUAAACCGUGGAACUGGACCAUUUUGUGGAAUUUAUGUUUUAUGUUUUUAUGUUUGUGUUUAUUUACUUUUUUCAGCAUUUCAUUUUAGUUUUUGUGUUUUUUUAAUCACGUCCACCCCAGACAUGAUUUGGGGUGCGGCCGCGCGUUGGGCGCACCGACAACCCAACGGCCCCAAGCGGACAUGAACGAACCCAUUGCCGCCCGAAACGGACGAAAUCCAGCCAAACCGGACGUCCGUUUGGGAUCGUGCGGUGGCGUUGGCCUAACCUCCCAGGUAGAUGGAUGCAGAGAAUGAACAAACAACUGCUAGUCUACUAUUCACGUCGACAGCCUAGCCACGACAAGACUAGCUGACCAUGAUUUUUUUUUUGUGUGUGAAUAUUUAUCUUACUUAUUCGCAAAGAAAAAAGGAUAUUUAUCUUACUCCAUCACUGGACGGCAUGCCCUUCCUUCCGGCUGGGCCAUGGCUACGGAAAAUGGCCUCGGACCAUUCGAACUGGUCAAGCCUCCAUGGGAAAUUCAGUCAGGAAAGGAGGCAACGCAUGCUCACAAUUGGCUUAUUAGGGACAAGCAAAAGGGAGGCGUUGGUCUUGUGUGUUUUCAAAGUAUGGCGAGCGUAGAAUCCAAGGAAGCUUUACGCACAUAUUUUGGCAAAUGGCACGGCCAGUCUUGUCCUAAAAAUGGCACGUCCAGGACGGGCGUCCUUCCUGAAGGAAGGAGCGUCUGUUUUCAACAGGUUGUUGAGCCGCAGAAAACAAGAGAAAAGCUAAGAUAGGUACUUGGACUUGACUCUCCUGAGUGAGAUGAAUACGUUAUCUACCAGUAGCCGGAAAGAACAACAUCACGCCGGCUCAAAAAGUGCCAGUAGUAAAACUUGUCGUGCAAGGGUCCAAACUUGGGAUGAUUUUGCUGUGGAAAAGGUAGCUCGCCCUUACCUGUCCCACUCAUUCAGCCCACUACCACCAGCAUUUCACCGCGGUCCACUUUAAAGUCACAAUACCAAAAUGGUCUCCCUCCCUCCUCUUCGGUGCUUGUAGUUGUCGCUAGAUGGUCUACGGAUCUAGAUGUAAUUUUUAUUUCUGGUAUUCAUUGUACUGCCAUGAUUGAAGAUGAAUAGAUUGAAAGUUUUUCCGAAAAAAAAACAAUCAAGCAACCACAGUGAUAGAUAAACCCAUCCAUUUGGUCUCAACCGUAGCUUUGUUCUUUUUGAACGAUAGCAGGAGAGCUAUUAUAUUCGUUGUAAAGAAGAAGAUGGUACAAGGACCCAGACUGCUCGGUUUACUGUAGAAAACCGGGCGAAAACCUGAACAACGGUAAGCCACACCUAGCUUACCAGUAGCUUUGUUCUGAAACCGAUACGUUUGUUCAGUUUUCGCUCCCAGGUGGCCAGGUCAGUUCUAUGGCGAUAGGAUAGGAGCAUGUGAGUGAGCAACCUUUUGGCAUCACCUUCAGCAAGGGAGGUGGUAGCUGUAGCUGUAGAGUAGUUCCCCGGCCAAUUAAUUGGUGGGCUUAAAUCAAGCAACUCCUUGUCACAGGCUGUCAAGUUACUACAUUUAAGGUCCACAAAGUUGGGGCACAGCUACAGCACUCCUUUAAGAACAUGCAUGUGAUACUCUACUGCUUUCUGCAUAGCCUAGAGGACUAGUAUCCCAACUGGAUCAGAUUGGAUAUCUCUGUGAAAGGAUGCGUAGGAGGGGCAAAUUAUUGCAUUUCGAUGGAACCGGAGACCGGAGACUUGCCUACAGUGCUGCCUGGCAUCAUCCAAGAUCUACAUAUUUCAUCAUUGUCGCAUUGUAGGUAGGUCCAAAGGUUUAGCGUGAUGGCGAAAACAGAUAAGCACUUGAGAUGGUACAUACGGGAGCUUUAGCAGUCAGGUUCAGGUCUGCUGCCAUGGCUUACAAAAGUGCAAGUCUUGCUAAGAUAUUUUGUGGUUUAUUGGUCAACGGACGAGAUGCCAUGAGCAUUGGUAGGUGCCUAGGAUGAUUCAACAACUCCUGGUUUUUGUACCCCAGAAAAUGAGCUACUCCAGUGUUUUCGAGAAGGAACCUUAUGAUAACAGAACUUAUGCGACAGUAAAAGGCGUUGAUGACCUUAAACACUGGGUCUUGAGAUAAUUUUGCAACUUGGUGUUCUAAAAAAAAUAAGGUAAAUUUGCAACUUGGAAGUUGGAACGGAAGAUUCGGUACAACGAAUACAACCCUUUGCGAAGUCUUUGAAAAAAACGAGUUGAAGUUACGACCCAUAGUUAUCAAUUACCCAAGUGCAAAAGGUUUCCUACCAUAUCGUAGUCGUGUCACAUGUUUCCUGAUGACAGAAAAUUGCUGAGGAUGUUGUUUGCGAAUCGCUCUUUAGUAUGAAUAGAAGAAACACAUUUCCAUUGUUUCCAAAACAUAUACUUUUUGUUCACCUUUUUGCCCUAAAGCAGAUCGAGUCCUCACACGAGUUGGAGUUCACAGAGAGACUUUGAUCCUACAAAAUACCAAAAAGACUACAUCAGUGGUAGCUGCCACAUGAAGAACUCCGAUGAAAGGAAGCAGAUUUUCCAAGCCUAUAUGUGCAGCUACCCAUCUUUGCAUAUAUGAUACUCCUACCAUUUACAUCAUAAAUGCAUUCAAAACAUAUGGACUUGCAACUAUAAGCGAAUUGCGUACCUUCUAAAUUUCAUUCUCAAUUUGAUCUGGACUUUAAAGAUAAGCUGUCACAUAUACUUUACAUGUACUGUCCACUUGUCCUUUUCCCUUCUAAAUAUUAUGGAUCAGUUUCAUCGUAAAUAUUUGCAGGCAGCUGCAGCCCUUAUGCUUGUGUAAGCAACUGAGCACUUUGCAAACUCUGAAAGCAAAGUGCACAGUAAAGAGUAGAAGAGUGCAAUCCAAAAUACGGUAAGCACACAUAUCAUAAAUAAAUUGUUUUUUGCAGCAUAGUAUGAUAUUUUAUACUGCCUCAGUGAUGACUUAGCAAUACAAUUACACCCUAACAAUAUACUCACGAGUUUCUUCACAAAUGUUAAACCCAGCUAAUUUAAGCAAAAUGAAGUAAUUACUUGAUGAAUCUUAGAAUAUACUGUACUAAGCAGAGCGAAAUUUUCGGCUUUACUUUUUGAAUCGUGAACAAGAGUGUUGAAGUGUAUAUGUGGAUUGCGUAGCCCUUUCCAUCAGUUCGGACUUUUGGUUGCGUUGGCUAGUGCAUGAAGCUUAACAAAGAGAAUUUUCUUCAAAUAGUAGGUAACAAAAUGCAUACCACCAGUCAGGUAUUCUUCAGAGAACAAUUGAUCAGUCACGGGCCUACAAAUAUUGAAUCAACUGAAUGACAUAUUUGCCUUUCUUCGUAGUCACGAUUUCCCCAAUCUACAGGAAAUAAUGACUUGAAGUAACUCAAGCAUAUAACAGAGAUUUGAAAAUGUAUUAGACAUCUCUAGUAGCAUGCAUACAUCUUCCAUAGCAUGCUAUAAUGGGUAUUUCUGCAUAUCAUAUAAUGCAAAGAUCUAAUUGUCAGCAUAUAUCAACAAACAUAUUAUGAAUAUAAGUGGACAGCGAAAGGUUGUAAUUUUUCCAUUUAACAUUUUGGAGUAUGGUUCACAGAAUAAAGAAGGAAAGGAUUAAAAAAACAACAAACACUAAACAUAUAGAAUGGGCGGUCCAACUUAACUGCAUACAGAAUACAAUGCAAGGCCCAACAUAUUCUCAAAAACCUGCACUGGUGGAAUGCCUCUGAAGCACCAGAAAAAUUGUUCCAUCAGCGUAAACUAGGUGCAACAGUAACAUCAUAAUUUUAUCCUAAUUUGCUCAAGAGAAUUCAAGGCUCAUCAAACAUUUAUUCAAAAAGACAAUAACUGGUGAUUGAUUUUACCUUUAAUCUCCCCAUCCCACUGACAGAAACAACAUCCCCAGCCUUGAGGGUAGCUCCACUUUUCGAAACCAGUGACCAAUUCACACGAACAUCUCCAGAACUUACCAAACAGAAAAGGAAACUUACAAUGAAUUGCAUUGUGCAUGGUAAUUAGAAAAACCAACAGGCUAACAGCACCGUCCAAAAUAAGAUAAGAAUGUCCAACUAUUCAUGGUAAGGUAAAGAAAAGCCUUACUGAACAUAAAGUAACAAAUUAGCAGCUCAAAGUUCAUACCUGAUCAUGCUACCAAGCUUUGUGCGUGAUAUUUUAAAUCCUGCACUGGCCACAGCAUCAACCCGAAGUGAUGAUUCUACAGUUUUAAAAGAUUUGGUCCUGCAGUUCAAUGGCAGUGCUGAGUAGCUUAUUCCAGGGUAUUACAUCAUAAGUUGUUGUGAUCUUAAGCAUGCAGUAUAUACACUAAGAUCCACGAUGACAUGUGAAACAAACCUUGGUGGCUCAUACUCUAUAGCAAGCAAGGGAAUCUGGGUGCAUGAAACACCAACUUUCCCCACCUGUUCAAUAAAAUAUCAUUCAGAGUAAACCAUAAUUAGAAGAAUCUGCACUUCCAACAAGGAAAAUGAUACUAAAAAAAUCAUGAACAACAGUCAAAGUUCAUGGGGAGAUUCUUCGCGGACAAAUUUGUGUCAAAACUCACAAAUACAAAAGACUAACAUAAAAAGAACAAAGAUUUUCAGCGAUCUAAGCGGACAUAAAAAUUAGGAUCGCAAUGUGCUCUAAUUUCUUAAAAUGUCGAGUAAAAACAAACACAUCAGCAUGUAAUAUACAGGUUAUGUGCUUUGCAUAGCAUUGAAUGCAUGUCACUGAACCAUAUCUCAGAUCUGAUCCAUUAUAUAAACAUAGGCACAUAAGUGGGAGCAUGCACAUCCAGCUCGCACAAACGAAAAAUUGGCAACAUAAUUUGUGAGAUACCUACCUUUUCUAGUGUGGAAGUCAGAUAGUCAACAAGCUCUGGAUCAACAAGGACCUGAGCACCUCUUUCCCCCUAACAGAAAAGCAAAGAGACAACCCAAAUGAUGAUAAGAUGGGAAAAGAAAAACUGGACACGCCUCAGGGAAAUGAGUAUUUGUGGAAAGUGUGGACCUGUAAAAGUAUAUCUCCAACUUUCUCCCUUGUAAUUCCUGCCCCAAGAAUAGCACCGAGAAAGUCACCAUGAGAACAGGGUUCCAAUCGGAAAUUCCCGGAGAUGCUAGGAAAGGUUUAAAAGUCAGUUUACAUAACAGAUAGUGAUGGCUACAAUAUAAAUUCUUGAAAACCUCAAAGCAGCAACUACAUCUGGGUCACUUCUCAUAGAGUCUGGAUGCCCAGCUGAAAUUCGGCACCGCUCAGCCUAAAUGGAUAUGAAGAUGAGAAAAACAAGGUAUAUAGGUUAAUAUAAGCUAUUAUUCACGUAAAAAUGGUAGCUAUCAACAACUCCUUUGAUUGUAUUGAAUUCCACCUGUGGAUAGCCCCCCUGAGCUACUGCUUUGAUAUCAGCUAACUUUUCAAUUGCUAGCAUAGCCUCCGCUAUGAUAGGUGGCGUAAGAAAACUGGUGUGGAAGACAUCUCUUCGUUGGGAAGCCCUUUGUGCCUGCAUAAGCUUGAUGUCAGUACAAAUUCAUGAACUGAAGAACUAAUGAUCAUGUAACUGUAACCCCAGUAAUUUUCUCAAUAUAAAACAGGGUGAUAUCCCUUCUCUUGGAAAUGGAAUAACUACAGUAUUGGAACAAAUUUACUGAAAAACCAUGUAGUAACCUCAUGGUACAUUGUUAAUAUGCAAAAAGGCAGUUAUGUUAUGUUAUGUUUCAAGCAUCAUGUGACACUAUAGGGUAUCAGGAUCAAGUUUGUAUUUCCUCCCUACAGCUUAUCCGUACAUCUAUUCACCAAUUCUUUAACUCCUGCCACUUGGUUUACCUUGGAAGAAGCAAUUUUAUUCUCUUCUUACAAAGGCACCAAAGCCAAUAUGAUUGAAAGGUUAUGUUUUCACACACCAAAUGGACAAUUCAUCGACUUUUUCUUCAUGCUUCAAUAGCAAAACAGCUAACAGGAAGCACAUCUCAUUUCCCCUAAGUUUCAUGUACUAAAAAUAUUCUCUUAGAGAGGAAGCAUCAGCCUAUUAGAACACAACCUAAAGCUCAUGAAUAGUGGGAAGAAGUCUCAAAUUCCAUCGAGGCACAGUUCCUCGAUAGGCCAAGUAUCCGCACUAUCAUCAACCAUCUAAUCUCAGUAAACACAUCUAAUUUUCCCCUAAUUUUUCAUGUAACAUACCCUCUUAGAGAGGAAGUCUAUGAGCCUACUGGAACACAACCUGAAGCUCAUGAUACUUUCUUAAAUUGUGGAAAGAAACCUCAAAUUCCAUUGAGGCAGUUAAUCAAACACCUCGUCCACAAGCCGACUAUCCGCAUUAUCGUCAGCCAUCUAAUCUCAGCAAGCGAAACAUUCAAACAUAACUGUUUCACGUCGAACUAGACUCUGACGGAAGCUCAAUGGAAAAUACAAAUGUGCUAGAAUGAAGAAAAAGAGAUAACCAUAUCCAGAAUGUCCAUGACUUCCUCGAUUACAUGCCUGUGCACGCCCCCCUUAGCAGACGAAUCUCCGACUGCGGCCGCCGAGACGGCGAGGGCCACGUCACACCGCCCUGCGCAUGGCGACCAAGUAUUAGACAAACAGCUCAAUCGGAGUAUCAGGCCGACCGGGCAAUGGGUUAGGGCUUACCUCGCGCGAAGAAGCGGAGUGGUGCGGGGAUAGCGCGGCGCGGGCAAGGGAAGUGGAGGAGCCGCCGGAGAGGGCUUGCCAAGGCGACCGCGGCGGCCAUCCUUUCUGCAAGCCGACUUGGCCGCCUGUGCUUUGAGCGCUCUGUGAUGUGAUGUGAGCGUGUCGUGCUUGGUGGCGGUUGCCUAACCGGGUGGGGGAUUGUGUAUGCCGUCUGUGGCAUUUUGUGGACUGUACUCGUGUCGCAGUAUCCCCGCCGCCGCCGCCGCGAUGAGCACGCUCCUCCGCCGCAUCCUCUGCAGCACGCCCGCCGGCGCCUCCCUCUCCCACCGCCUCCCCUUCGCCACCUCCUCCCGCCGCACCCCGCACCGCUUCCGCCGCAGCCACCGCGCGCCCAGCCAGUCGCCGUCUCCCGACGCCGUCUCCGCUGCCAUCGCCUCCCUCCCCUCCCGCCUCACACCGGCCGUCCUCGCAUCCUCCCUCGCCUCCACCUCCGACCUCCGCCUCCUCUUCCCGCUGCUCACCCACUCCCUCGGCCGGCCCACCUUCCGGCCCGACCCGGGGCCCUUCCUCGUCGCCGUCAAGCGCCUGGGCGCCGCCCAGCUCUACGACGAGUUCGACCGCACCUGCGCCCUCUUCUUCUCCCUCCUCCCCUCGCUCCCGUCCCCGGGGCCCCUCCUCAGGGCCGCCCUCUACUUCUACUGCGAGUUCCGCAAGCUCGGCAAGGCGUUCCACGUCUACACCCUCAUGCGCGCCUCCGCCGACCCGGCCGCGCGCCCCGCCGCCGACACCUACCACGCGCUCUUCACCGCGCUGCUGUCGCGCGGGGGCAACGACUCCAUGGUGCACUACAUGUACAUGGACACCGUCUCCGCGCUGUUCCGGCAGAUGCUGGAGGAGGGCAUCCCGCCGGACACCCGGGCGCUCAACGUGCUCGUCAGGGGCUACGCGCAGUCGCUGCACCUCAACGACGCGCUGCGCGUGUUCCACCAGAUGGCGCCCGUCUACGGCUGCGAGCCGGACGGCCUCACGUACAGCUACCUGCUGCGCGGGCUGAGCGCGCAGGGCCGCACCAACAACGCCCGGGAGCUGUUCGAGGAAAUGCGGGGCAAAGGGAUGAUGCCGACGGAGCCGUCCUGCAACGCGUUCGUCAGCGCGCUCGCGGUGGCCGGGGAGGCCGCGGAGGCGGAGCGGGUGAUGUGGGAUAUGGCCAGGGCGGGGGCGGUGGUGGAUCAUAUCACGAGGAGGGCGGUGGUGGAGGAGCUGGGGAGGGCCGGGAAGAGGGAGGACGCUGAAAGAGUGGUCGGGGAGAUGGAGGAGAUGGGCAUGCUCAGAGUCGCCGAGCGGCGAGAGCUCCUGGCUUCGAUCCAAGACGACGAGGACGGCGACGAUGGCCUGGAUGCUGACGAGUGCACGAGAGGUGGUGAUCGACGACGACGACAAAGUAGCUAGCACAGAAUUCAGCAGGUUGAUAUCUGCAUCGGAUGAGUUUUUUUUUUACUAUGAUUCUCAAGUAUCCGUUCAUAAAUGUAAGAUGUUUCAGAUAUUUCAAUAUAGACUACAUUUGGAUUGAAAUGAAUGAACAAGCACACUGGAACUAAAGCUGUAGAACAUCUUAUAUUUGUGAGGAGGGAGGAACAGAGUCAUGUGUGCAAUGUGCUCACAACGAUACAUGCGAGUUGAAAACGUAUCGUGUAAUUGAAUGUUAAGUUUGAAGAGUUUAAAUGUCUUGAAUUAUCACUACGCGCGAACACCACGUCUUCUAAACACAUGGUGGAAUGAACCAAGGAACUGUCUAGAUUCCUUCUUCUCACAUUUGUUUUUAACACAAUACAGACACAAGUGGGAACGUCUCCUUCUUCUCGUAUUGGUGAGUGUAAUAUGAGCACCAACAUUUGAACCUGUUGGUAGAGCUAUUGCCGACCCAACUCUACGUACGCUUCUUUGUUCUUUUUUUUUUCCUUUUUUUCUUUUUGCGAUGGUGCUCUACGUACGGCUUGACGCCAUGGCUGUGGCUGCCGCUUCACCUGCCGUGCCAAUCGACUCAACCAAGACUCGCAGGCAAAUAGUAUCACUUACCUGCAUAUAGCUUGUACCCUUUCAUCUUCUGACGAGGUUUUAGUGCAAUCCACUGAAAUGCAGAUAACUCAACAAUAACCUGUUUUCUUUUAUUCAGAUGAAGACUUUUUCGCUCUUGCUUCGACCAAGUUGCUCUUACAAAGUUGCUUUUACGAAUCCCACACGGGGUAAGUUUAAGACCAAAACCAUGUUUUUGUCAGGCUCAUUCUACAGAAAGGGGGGAGAUGGAACGGCUCCACUUAUUGUUUCUCCCCCAAAUGGACCAUCUGUAAUUUGCUCAUUCUUCAGGCUGAUCGGACGGAAGCCAUUCCAGAGUGUUACCGGUGGACAUAGGCACAAUCACCCCUAAGCCGUACGUAUAAGUUGCAGGCACUUUCCAGGGGCUCCUUCUCAGAACAGUCUUUGAUGUGUUCCUUGGGAGACCAUAAAAAUCUGGCCCAUUGAAGCUUGUGAAAGCCUCUAGCUUAUCAAGAGCACCGGCCUGAAACAGGACAAAAUAUGUCCAAGAAACAGAUUAGUGGGAAAUCCUAACAUUUUCAUGUCGGAUAGAGUAGUUCUUUGCCUGUAAGAUUGUGAUAGGCUUUUUGUAGCUGAGACAAUUAUAACAGUAGUUUCUAG